ensembl:misc_RNA Metazoa_SRP Metazoan signal recognition particle RNA
GCUGGGUGUGGUGGUGCAUGCCUGUGGUCCCAGCUACUCAGGAGGCUGAGGCAGGAGGAUUGCUUGAGCUCAGGAGGUCCAGAUUGUAAUGAGCCUUGUUUGCACCAUUGCAUUCUAUCCUGGGCAACCGAGCAAGACCCUGUCUCAA